rnacentral:sRNA from 1 species
AUGCGUGUGGCAGGCGCUGGGUACCCAGGACUAGUCCAUCUUCCCAAAGCCCUGGGUGGAGGAAAACACGCCCCAACUUUACAGAAACAUUGUAUCAAGUCCUGGGUAAUGUCUAUGGGCCAGGUGGGCCGGGGCCAGUCUCUCCCCUCGGAAAGGGGAAUGUCCUGAUGGACCGGCCUGAGUGUCCUGAUGGCUUCAGGUGGUGAGAUCAUGUCACUUGGAUAAAGGGGGAGGAAAACACAGAGAAGGAUCCAUGUCUUCUGGUACCUAAGAUGGAGCUCCUAGAUGGAAAACAGACAUUGCCUACAACUGUAGGCAGGGGAGUGGACCCAUGCAGGAUGUCAGGGUUUCCCUCUCUGUCUGGGACAUUUUCCUGUGCCCAGCAGUGCCUGGGAGUCAGCCUGUGACCUCCAUUCCUGUGGCUGGGACCGCGCCUCUGGCAUCAGGAUGCAGCUGGUCCAGCUUCCAGCUUUGGAAAACAGAGGAUCUGCUGUGGGAAGCCAUGGAGAAGGUCUUCACCUACAGAGCCACCAUCUAAUCCCCCAUAUAGGCCUCUCUGCGCUCCCAGUCACGAUGGCCACCAUCAAGCAAAACCAAGCCUGCCACUGUAAAGCCAAAGACUCCCCCACUGGGGACCAGCCGGAGCCCCUCCCCUUUCCCCCCGGCCCCAGGCUACAUCUAGCCCACGGGCCCUCACUCCAUUCUCAGCUCUUUCAUGGCUUGGAUGCCCAAGAGUCUGAGAACCUGAUGACCCUGGUCUUCUUGCUGGCCUGGGGACCCCCAAGCCAGCCCAGGCUGUUCUGCACCUCAGACUGUGCUUCCCCACCCCCAGAGCGCUGUCCCGAGGCUGUCCUAUAGCCUGACACCCGCCUGGGCAGCAACAGCGUGGGGUAAGUGCAGUCAACUUCCUGUGUCCUGCCUCCCUGAGCAGCGGUGCCCAUGGCAGAUGGGAUGUGGGACCCCGCCCAACCCUACACUCCACCACACUGGGCUUCAGCUCUGAGUCCUCACUUCAUUCCUUCAGUGAGGGCUGGAGUUGGGCAGCACAGGGAAAGAGGACAGAGAGAAUCUUUUGGGGUGACAGGUUGGGGACCUCCCCUGGGUGACACUCAUCUCCUGACUGACUUUUGGGGUCUAGCCUCAGUCACUUGGCUCCAAUCCUCAUUCCUCUGAGUUCCCCAGCUCCAGUCCUCCCUGGGGCCCUCCUGAGCUUGGCUGGGAGCCUCCUUGAGUGGUGUAUGCUGGUGAGUCCUCACCCCGGGUUUCUGUCUACAUGGUGGGGAUAAGGACCCACAAGUGUCAGGAAGCCACUCACAGGGGAUGUGGGAUGGAUGACAGAUCUGCCAACAGUGGUCCAUGGGGCUUCUGAUGGUACAAACUCAGGGAUGAGCCUGUCCCAUGAAUUUCCUACAAAAGCUAUGCAUAAGUGUCAUUUUGGGGAUCCCUGGUGUGGAUUAGCUGUGUUCUUCCACCCCCAAUCUUGACCUUUGUAAUCUGAAAGUAGCUUUCCUUACCAGACAGUUUCUGCUGGUGAGAUCCAGUUUAGAGGACGUCACUGCAGGCUACGGUAGGUCAGUGCCUGCUGCUCUUUAAGGGGGACAUUUAGACACACAGGGAAGUGACUGGCAGAGGCAGAGGGUAGAAUUUGCUGCCACAGGCUGGUGAGAGCUGGGAGACAUACGUGAGUCUCAAUCUCCCUGGGAACCCCAAGGAGGAUCCAGGCCUGCUCUACCCUUGGCCUUUGGGGUUAGUCUCCAGGACUGGGAGAGAACAGAGGCUGUUGUUUGAAGUUUCCAUGCUGGUGGUCCUGAUCCCAGCAGUCCUGGGAAAUGCAUAGGGAUGCCAGAGAUGAAGAAACUGAAGCCCAGAGAGGUUAAGUCCUUAGCCCAAGACACACAGCAAGCUGGCACUGAUGUCAGACAGACUCCAGGGCUGUUUGGCAACCAAGCUCAUUCCCCUGGCUGGGGACUGAUGCGACUGGCCACCUUGUUUCGGGAUCGUUUGUAUGUAGGGUCCACACCAUGGGUCUAUCUCCCCAAGGACAACUGCCAAAGUGCAGAUUUGAGACAGACACAUGGGGCCAGCAGGAGACCCCAUGCCAUGCUUCUCAGAACACAAGCAGGAGAAAGGAGCACAGCAUUCAUACCAAGGUGACCAGAUAUGAGGGUCAAGCUCAGCUUCUUACAGUGUCCCCACGACACUGUAAGACACAGUACACUUAGUACCUAGUGCUCUGGACAAGGUUUCCAGAAGUUUCAGUCUCAACCCUCACCAGCCUGGAAACCUGAGAAACUCACUUCCUCCACCUUAGUUUCCCCAUCUGAAGAAUGGGUAUGGGCUCACAGGGCCUAGGAUGUAGGGAGGGAACAUCUUGGGGCAUUUUAGGGACAAAGGACCCCUUGUUUCUAAAGUUUCAACACCCACACAGACUGUGGGAUGACGCAGGGGAGGUGAUCUGGGGACAGAUUCCGCCGUGGCUAAGGGGAGGGGAGGAAAGCAAGGGACUGCAUCCUAGCCUCGCAUUCCCUUGGGAAACAGGAAGUCCAUUCUGCACAGGCGCUGCUCUGGCUCCAGGAAGCCAGAUGACCCUUUCCUCUCCUGUCUCCUCCCAACUGGGGAAGGAAUUCACUAUACUGUCAACAGCCCUGCCCAGCUUCUGACUAUGGCUCUCAGAGCUGGGGAGGUGGGGCAAGGUACUGCCAAGACGCCCCCUCAUCCUACUGGGUAAGGUUUACUGAGGCUCAGAGAGCCUAAGGCACCUGCUUCAGGCCACACAGCACACACAGCACACACAGCACACACAGCACACAGGGCCGGUGUGGUUAGAACUUGGUAGUUAGGAGUUCUCAUGCUUAGCAGGACCGAUGUCACAGGAGAGCAGGGCGCCACCACUCUCAUGGCAAGCCACUCAAGGCCAGCCCCCUUCCCUGAGGACCUCCAACUGCCAGAUUCCACCCACAGAACACUCUACCUAUCCUAACAGCCUGACACAGGCCAUGUCUCAGUCACCCAGAAUGUCAGCAUCAGGCUUGGACUCAUCCAGCCCCAACCCCUACCCCUGUAACUGACAGCAGGCUGUCUACUACAAUGUUGCCUCCACAAUGUUACCUACUACAAUGUCUCCUGGACAGUGUGACCCACAAAGGCAGGCUGCUUUGCCCUGGCUGUAUGCAUGGAGGCACCUGUUCUCCUGAGUACAUCAGGAUGCCACAAGACCCUCAUUAUGCUUCCAGGAGAGUCUCCCGGGGAAGCUCUUUGCUUAUCCAUUUCUUCCUGUUCAAAUGCAGACAAAGGGCUGGAACCUUGGCACCCAUUCUGGGAUAGCGAGGCUCUGAAGAGGGAGGUGCAUGUGGAGGAUGCCUAAGGUUGACCCUGAGGUUACUAUGUAACUCAGGCUGGCCUUUAACUCUAGAUGACUCCUGUCUCAGUCCCUUAAGUGCUCGUGAAUGACUACGCGAGGUAAGCUGGCAUUUAAACAGAGGAUACGGCGGUUCAGAGGUAGAUAUGACGACUAUAUGAAGACUAGAUCACCGGAGUGGGUAAGAACUUGUGUGGGGAAAGCCGCAGCAGGGAAGGGUGAUUCCAUUGUCUCUAGUAGCCAGCAGCAGCUGACCCCAGUGUAGGCAGAGCGUGCCCUGGGUGCAACUGGAGAGGGAUUCAUGGACAGCGAUGGAGCCACCCUGGGGCUUCCAGGAGUAUGGAUGGGGUGGAUGAGGGUCUUGCCACUGUUCUGAGUCCUUGACACGGCAUGGGAUAGUGACAGGAAGACAGGACCCAAGUGCUAUCUGUACAAGUGUCUGACAGGCAAGUGCUGAGGCCCAAGGUGCUACAUGGAAAGUCAGGGUGCUCCACUGGCAGACAUCCCAAGGUGCUCCACUGAAAUUCCAAGGUGCUCCACUGAAAUCCUAAGGUGCUCUAUGGAAAGGUCAGUGCCCGCUUGCAAGUUGGGGAAGAAGCAUCCUCAGCAGAGUCUUCUAUUGAGCAUAUGACCUUGCCCUACCUGUUGUGUGGUCUGAACCAGCUCCUGCCCUCUCUGGGCCUGGUGAGGGGGAGGUGCCAUGCUCUCCUAUGAAGAACGCAGUGUGGCAGUGGGAAGAAUUAUUUUUCUGCGUUUCUAAGCUCUUUUAUGUGCCUCUUCUUUCAGUCACAGACGCCAGGGUCUCAGGGAGGACCAGAACUGGGGAUCUGAGGACAAAAGGGAAGGCUUGAUGUUAGCUUCUGAGUGAACGUGCUGCUGCUGUUGCUAGCCCACUGAUAAUGGCCCGGAGAACCGGCAGGGGAGGGGCUCCCAAGUCUAGACAUGUUCUUUGCACAUCAAGAGCCAGAUUACAGGAUUGUGGACAGGAUGAGGAGAGCAGGGAGAGGACACAGAGGCCACCAUACUGGGAGUGAGAGGGACAGGGAAGACACUCAGGGAUCCUGUGGUCCUGGGUGGGGAGGGUCUGGGUCAGUCUCUGCUUCUCAUGAUGUGGAAGGGGAGGCAGGCUUUGAUGGCCCCUGGAGGUGCUCAGCUGCCUCAGCCCAUACCCGUUAGGACACUUUCUCAUCUGUGAAGUUCUCCUGGAACCAGUGCAGGAUUUGUGGGGUUCAAGGAGCCGGUGCCAACUGUGGUGCCAGUUGCAAGAGGCAGGGAGAGGAGCCACAGGUAGAGCAAGUGUUACCUGGGGCACUGGGUAGGGGGUGUGGCCCAAUCUGCAUGCCCACCCUGCUGGUUCCUUCAGGAAGCCACAUCAGCUCCUGUCUCCAUCCGGGAAGCCAUGGUGAGAAAAGGACUAUUUUUUUUUUUUCUUGUGUGGGGCUAGGGUUGGAACCACAGGCCUGCCUGAUAGGCCCUCUACCACCAAGCUUUUAAAAUGGUUUCUCUUCAGUUUCCCUUUGCAGUGUUUGUUGGAAUCCAGGUCCUCACAAAUGCUAAACAAACCCUCAAGCACUGAGCCACACCCCUGCCAUUUGGGGACAAAGUAUAAAGGCAUUCCAGAAGCACCAUGGCAGGGUGACUGGUGACAGUGGUCAGAAAGCUAUGAUCUACUUGGAAACCCUCCCACCAUGUGACAGUAUCUGCAGUGAUUAUAAAGAGGGCGGACAGACCUGUGUGCUGGCUCUCCUGCGCUCCGGGCUUUGUAGCUAUUGCUGUUCCUGCGGUGCAUGGGGAGGUGAGAAGAAAAGCCUCAAAGGCAAGGAAGAGUUGUGCCUGCAGCUCACUCUGGGACACUGGGAGAGGAAAGAGGGUAGUUGUCCCACAAUGACCUUUGUUAUGAGGCAUCUCGGCAGAGCUGCCUGGAGUUGGACUGGUCCCACCUCUGAUUGGGUCUCAGUCUUGCAGGUAUAAAGAGGAACCACACAGGAAUGCUGAGUUCUUCUGCCCUCAGACAGCAGGAUGAGGCCCUCUCCUGCUCUGACUGACUUGCUGGUCACUUCCACUGAAAGGAGAUAAUUUCCCAGGAGAGGGAAAGGUUUUCUGGCACAUGGUGCCUGCCUGCGGCUUCAAGGACUUUCACUUAUGUGGUGGAGUCCCCUAUAUGGUCACUAGUGAGGCUUUAAGCCAUCCUCCCAACAGGGGUUGACAGGUAUCAUUUUUGGGAAAGACCCACCUUUAGGGAUAGUGUCUCUCUUUCCACAUGUGCCUAUCCCAGGUGAUUUGCAAAGGUGGACAUCAUUUUUUUUAAGACAUAGCUUUUUAUUGGUCUAAUUUACAUGCCAAGAGACCGGCUUGGGCAACUUUCUCCAUGUGCCCUCUGUUGAGAGCUCCUGGCUUGCCCCAGGAAAGAAGAGUGUCCUGGUCAGGGGUUGACAGACAUUCAGUUGGGACCUGAAGGGGCUCAGGGUGAUGGAGAGAUGGGGCCUCAGGGCAGAAGGAGAGCAGUGCCCUGAACAGCCCAUGCCUUGACAGGAUGGGAGGGAUUAGAAGGGAAGAACUUUCCCAGCAGCUCCUACUGUGCCCUUCAAGCCAUCAGCAGGUGGACAUCAUUCUUGACUGAUGCUAGUGUUCCUAUACUCUGGGAUGGAACCUCCAGCAGAGUCAAUAAGAUGAGGAGAUAAAGUUCGUGAUCUGCCCAAGGCCACGUGGCUAGCAAUUCUCAGACCAGUUCUGACCGUAUCUCCAGAGAACUUUAAACCAUGAGGGAAGGGAGAUCUAGAACUUAGAAAGCUCCAGAGCCAAGGAUAAAUGGAUGGCAUCAUUGCCACCUCCUAGUGGCCAUGUAUCCACAGUACCAUGAGGGUCACUCGAGCAGCAGGGCAAUCCUCGGAGAGUGACAGACAGUUGUUCAUGUGUCAGGUUCAGUUUUAUGUAGUACUGAUAGAGAUGCCCAGUUUCAAGGGCUGCCUUGUCUGCUGGGGUAGAAUCUGGAAGGGUGGUAGGGGGUGUACUGGGAUUGUGGAAUUAGAGGGGUAUUUCUGGGGUCUGGGUCAGAUAGAAAUCUAGAAAUUUCCUGGUGUCUUUGGUGCUUGUGUGUGUGUGGGAGAGCCAAGAGGAGUGGUGACUAUGGGAGGAGCAGCCUGUGCCAUGGCCCUGCAGUGAGGGAGCUUGGCUCAAAGAAUAUUGAGUAUCACAGAAGGCUAAGGUGAGGGUGGGGACUGGAUCCUGGGUAAGAGAUGGAGGAGGCCACAGGGGUGGUGAGAUGGGAGCUAGGGUGCUCCUCAGGGCAGAACUAGGGCUAGAAUGUGUGAUCCCCAGCUAGGAGGUCUCUGGCAUGAAUGAGAUGGGAAGCUGUGGCUCCUGGCUAGCUUGGCUCAACAACUAAUGCUCACUUUAGAGGCUCAGGGCUGCAACAUGCCCUCCAGGUCUGGGCAGGGAAGAGAGGGAAGCCCUCCGUUUUACACUCCUUCCCUAACCUCGAGGCCAUGCCAGGAACCCGGCCUGGAGGUACCCCUGCCUGACAGAAUAGAGAGCUGGGCCCACAGUACCUCAACCUGAACUAGUUUAAAGCACCCAGGAACUCUAGGUGUGGUGCUACACAUCUGUAGUUGCAGCUUCUGGGGAGGCAGAGCUGGUGGAUCGGAGUUCGAGGCCAGCCUGGCAACUCUGUGAACUCCUGUCCCAAAAGGAAAAGUAACAUCACGGCAGAGAAAGCUGAGGUAGACCAGUUAUCUAGCAUGCCUGAGACCCUGGGCUCCAUCUUCUAUGUCAAGCACAUGGAUGCACACACAGGCACAGGCAUAUGAUGUAUACACAGGCAUGCACACAGCACACACAGACACACAGACUGAGUGAGGGCUGGGUAGAGAAACCCCCUUGCAGGAGGCUGUCUUUCACACAUCAGCAUCUCCCUGCUCAUGGCAUUGUGGGUCCCAUCCUGUAGGUGAGAAGGCUCCUCAAGAGUCUGGGGGCAGGUGGUGGAGAAACAGCUCUGAGUCCCUGUGUGUUUGCAUGCUGAGCCUCCCUGGCAGGGCGAAACCUGCCCUAAAGGAGGAGUGUGCACCAGAUCUGACAGCAGAUGACAGAGGUUAAAGCAAAUACUAUCCUGGUGGCCAAGCCUAGGUCUCAUGAGGCAGGAAGCCACAUGAAGGCUGGGAAGAAAGCCUUGGGAAGGCUCAGCCUGCUGCCUGGUCUGCCCUGGGGAGCAUCCUUUGGAAGGAGGAGAGAUCCCAUUGGUCUUCUCAUGCACAACACAUUCUUCCCCAGCCAACCAGCCCUAGGCUCUCUGCACAUUCAUACAUCACUACAUCUCAUCUCAACUCCCAUGAAAAUGUUUCCACUCCUCGACUGCUUCAUCCUUCUUUCCCUCUCUCCCUUCCUGCCCUCCCUCCAUUGCUCCAGCCCUUCCUCCAUCCAUCCACGUAUCCAUCUACGUACUCCAUCACACAUCCCCAUUCCAGCAUCUGUCCCCAUUCCUCUAUCCCUCCCGUUUCCCUUCCUCCAUCCAUCCAUUUAUCACAUCCAUCCCUUCACUUCCAGCAUUCUUUUAUCUCUCCUGCUUCUUUCCCUCCCUCCCAACAUCUUCCCCACCCUCCUCCUCUUUCUCUCU